CAAAGCAGGAGCUGUAAAGGCCCCGCCCACUUCUGGAAAGCAUGAAUGUGAGACACACACAAGAAAAAAGAGAAACCCAGCCAUCAUACCCUCCUGCGUGAAAGAGGCUCUGUGUUUUUUUCGCCGAAAAACAACAGAUAUUGCAGGAAAUUCACUUGAAGGAUCUCCUGCCAGCAUUCUUGAGCAGUACCGUUUGAUGUCGGCACUCCUUAUAUCUUGCUCGGAGCUGAAAGAAAGCUGCUGGUGAUUCACACAGGUCAUGGAUGACGUUCAGAGAUGUGACGAGCUCACGGAUGUCACUGUUUUCGGCUGCAGGAGCAAUUAGCCUUUAGGUUAACAGACUCGUGUGAUGGUUUGAGAUAUAGAAAUAUCUCAGAUGUUCAGGUGACCUUCUGUCAGCACAGCAGAUAAGAAGAACCCUCACAAAAACUGGAAAAACUAGUCUAGAGCACCAUUUUUUUCUGAGAGGAAAUGAGAUAAUGCCAUUUUUUUUCACAGUGGCAACAUACUUUUUUUUCAGCAUAAUGAACACCACAUUUUUCAGACGGUCUGUCAAAAUAAGCAGCUCAAUUCUUAAAACGCCAACAUUUUAGUGCACAGCUCAUCCUGCAGUGAUAGCAAUGUCUUUGUAACAAUGCUAGCAACUGCAUGUUCUAGCAAUGUGGCAGGAACUUGUAUACACUGUAAAAAAUAUUUUCAAGAUUUGUUAUCACAA